UACGGAGGGUGCAAACGUUGCUCGGAAUCAUUGGGCGUAAAGCGCACGUAGGCGGUCCGCUAAGUCGGGUGUGAAAUCCCUCGGCUCAACCGAGGAAGUGCAUUCGAAACUGACGGACUUGAGUAUGGAAGAGGGUCGUGGAAUUCCCGGUGUAGAGGUGAAAUUCGUAGAUAUCGGGAGGAACACCAGUGGCGAAGGCGGCGACCUGGGCCAAUACUGACGCUGAGGAGCGAAAGCGUGGGGAGCGAACAGG
rnacentral:rRNA from 1 species